GAACAGACGAGGAGCUUGCUCCUCUGACGUUAGCGGCGGACGGGUGAGUAACACGUGGAUAACCUACCUAUAAGACUGGGAUAACUUCGGGAAACCGGAGCUAAUACCGGAUAAUAUAUUGAACCGCAUGGUUCAAUAGUGAAAGACGGUUUUGCUGUCACUUAUAGAUGGAUCCGCGCCGCAUUAGCUAGUUGGUAAGGUAACGGCUUACCAAGGCAACGAUGCGUAGCCGACCUGAGAGGGUGAUCGGCCACACUGGAACUGAGACACGGUCCAGACUCCUACGGGAGGCAGCAGUAGGGAAUCUUCCGCAAUGGGCGAAAGCCUGACGGAGCAACGCCGCGUGAGUGAUGAAGGUCUUCGGAUCGUAAAACUCUGUUAUUAGGGAAGAACAAAUGUGUAAGUAACUAUGCACGUCUUGACGGUACCUAAUCAGAAAGCCACGGCUAACUACGUGCCAGCAGCCGCGGUAAUACGUAGGUGGCAAGCGUUAUCCGGAAUUAUUGGGCGUAAAGCGCGCGUAGGCGGUUUUUUAAGUCUGAUGUGAAAGCCCACGGCUCAACCGUGGAGGGUCAUUGGAAACUGGAAAACUUGAGUGCAGAAGAGGAAAGUGGAAUUCCAUGUGUAGCGGUGAAAUGCGCAGAGAUAUGGAGGAACACCAGUGGCGAAGGCGACUUUCUGGUCUGUAACUGACGCUGAUG
rnacentral:rRNA from 1 species